rnacentral:rRNA from 1 species
UACGUAGGUGGCAAGCGUUUGUCCGGAAUUAUUGGGCGUAAAGCGCGCGCAGGCGGUCCUUUAAGUCUGAUGUGAAAGCCCACGGCUCAACCGUGGAGGGUCAUUGGAAACUGGGGGACUUGAGUGCAGAAGAGGAGAGUGGAAUUCCACGUGUAGCGGUGAAAUGCGUAGAGAUGUGGAGGAACACCAGUGGCGAAGGCGACUCUCUGGACAGUUCCUGACACUGAGGCACGAAGGCCAGGGGAGCAAACGGG